rnacentral:tRNA from 1 species
AUAAGAUGGCUGAUCUAAAGCGGGAAAUUGUAAAUUUUCUUAUAGAAUUUUUUUCUUCUUGUUAG